UACAGAGGUGGCAAGCGUUGUUCGGAAUUACUGGGCGUAAAGAGCGCGCAGGCGGUCGGAUAAGUCGAAUGUGAAAGCCCCCGGCUCAACUGGGGAGGGUCAUUCGAUACUGUUCGACUCGAAGGCAGGAGAGGGAAGUGGAAUUCCCGGUGUAGUGGUGAAAUGCGUAGAUAUCGGGAGGAACACCAGUGGCGAAGGCGACUUCCUGGCCUGUUCUUGACGCUGAGGCGCGAAAGCUAGGGGAGCAAACGGG
rnacentral:rRNA from 1 species